GAGUUAGUAUUUAAUUGGUAAAGAGUUUCCUUGUCGAGGAAAAAGAUGCCGGAUCGAAGCCGGCCUAACUCG
rnacentral:tRNA from 1 species